rnacentral:rRNA from 1 species
UACGGAGGGUGCAAGCGUUAUCCGGAUUCACUGGGUUUAAAGGGUGCGUAAGUGGGCUGGUAAGUCAGUGGUGAAAUCUCCAGGCUUAACUUGGAAACUGCCAUUGAUACUAUCAGUCUUGAAUACCGUGGAGGUCAGCGGAAUAUGUCAUGUAGCGGUGAAAUGCUUAGAUAUGACAUAGAACACCAAUUGCGAAGGCAGCUGGCUACACGAAUAUUGACACUGAUGCACGAAAGCGUGGGGAUCAAACAGG